UGACCAAAAUUGUUGAAAAAAAUUUCUUUUAUUCAACGAAGGGCGAACGAAACGUGUUACCGUUUACGAUUCGUGACGAAACGUUUUACCGUUUACAAUCAUAAUGCGGACGAACAACAGGACAAAACAAUGCUGAUUUCGGCGUAUCACGCCAUCAUCAGUGCACCUAUGCCGCAAGACUAUGU